rnacentral:rRNA from 1 species
AUUGAACGCUGGCGGUAGGCUUAACGCAUGCAAGUCGAGCGGAGCGAGGGUGCUUGCACCUUAGCUUAGCGGCGGACGGGUGAGUAAUGCUUAGGAAUCUGCCUAUUAGUGGGGGACAACAUUCCGAAAGGAAUGCUAAUACCGCAUACGCCCUACGGGGGAAAGCAGGGGAUCUUCGGACCUUGCGCUAAUAGAUGAGCCUAAGUCGGAUUAGCUAGUUGGUGGGGUAAAGGCCUACCAAGGCGACGAUCUGUAGCGGGUCUGAGAGGAUGAUCCGCCACACUGGGACUGAGACACGGCCCAGACUCCUACGGGAGGCAGCAGUGGGGAAUAUUGGACAAUGGGCGGAAGCCUGAUCCAGCCAUGCCGCGUGUGUGAAGAAGGCCUUUUGGUUGUAAAGCACUUUAAGCGAGGAGGAGGCUACUUAGAUUAAUACUCUGGGAUAGUGGACGUUACUCGCAGAAUAAGCACCGGCUAACUCUGUGCCAGCAGCCGCCGUAA